UCUACACUACAAGUUGUAAGAUAUAGGCAACAGUAUAUAGGUAACAACACACGGUGUGUGGAUUUAAUGCUCCUGAGAGUGAAGAGCCAUUUAUUACAAUAAGAAGAGGAAGAGAACGUCCUCGCGACUCUGUAGCUACCAUGCUCUUUACACACGCACGUGUUGAGGAUUGAUACAAUCGUACAGUUAUUUAUACCGGGAUUGAACUUUCUGGCAUUCUAGCUUCGGUUUGCGUUUUGCUGAACCAAAACCCGGUGUAAAGUGUUUAGCUAGAGUUGGAAACCUUCCACAUUUAAGCGCGCCGCAACCAUGACUUCACCGGUAAUUAACCGAGCCAAAUGGCUGAUUUUCCUGCCGUGCAUCAUUUUCCAUGGCUGUGCCGGUUCUGCUCCUCUACAGGAGAUGGACAGAAACUGCCGUUGCUUUCUUCCUUGUGACGGAUCACCUGAGCUAAAGAAACAUGACAGCGUCCGAGUUCUUGUGCAACAUCUUUCAGAUGAUCGUGAAGUAAUACGUAAUGUGUCCAGUUUGUAUGAUGGAGGGCGCUGUUCAGUGCCAGGCUGUUUCCAGAGGAGCAUGCAUUACAGACUGCAAAUGUACGCUAAUGACAAAGACCCAGUGCCUAAAAUACUGCUCAAUAAAACAGAUUUACAGCCUGAAUGUGAUCCAGAGGCAAUAUCAGACAAAAAAACAAACAGUGCUGAUGGGAAACUCUGUAACGAGCUCCUGAUCCCACUGGCCUUUUGCUUCUGGAUCGUCUUCCUCCUCGAGGGACCAAGAUAAUGGCACACAUACACAGCAGCUACUCCAGGGCCAAAGAAAUGCUGUUCCUCAUGCACUACCACAUCACAACACCUAAAACUAUCAUCUCAGGCUUUACAUUCCAGGACUACGGGCUUUCUCAGACCAUGAGGACUUCAUGAUCAAAAACACACUAAAUGGACCAUUGUUUUUGUUAGGCCAGGCUGCUUUAAAAUGCAUGCAUUUAUAGAUUUCCUAUUUUUAUCUCUUGCUCUAAAUUCUCUUAUUUUAUAUGUGCUUUUCUUAUCUUAUGCUACACGUACAGCAUUACAAAACUGGAAACAUGCAUUUCGGUCCACAAAACAACAUUAAAGAAAAAAACAAUUGACUUUCUCCAGGAGGUCUAUAUGACCAGUUGUGCCUCAAAUAGACAGUUAUUCUUCCUCCCUGUGUAGUCAAUUUGACUUCUACCCACAGUUUAUUUAUUUUAUUUUAUUUUUUAUUUCACAGUGUAUAUAGUAUUUAACAGAUUAUUUGUCCCAUCCAUGUUAAAAUUUUUUAUUAAUGCAAAAUAAUGUAUUUAUAAUAAAUAUAUAUUUUAAUGUCUUCA
ensembl:lncRNA